rnacentral:rRNA from 1 species
AGCAGCCGCGGUAAUUCCAGCUCCAAUAGCGUAUAUUAAAGUUGUUGCAGUUAAAAAGCUCGUAGUUGAAUUUCGGGGUCAGCAGGUUGGUCGUGCCAAUGGUAUGCACUGGCCUUGCUGAUUCCUCCCUCUUGAUGAGCCGUAAUGUCAUUAAUUUGGUGUUGCGGGGAAUCAGGACUGUUACUUUGAAAAAAUUAGAGUGUUUAAAGCAGGCAAGCGCUUGAAUACAUUAGCAUGGAAUAAUGAAAUAGGACGUUUGAUCCUAUUUUGUUGGUUUCUAGGAUUGACGUAAUGAUUAAUAGGGAUAGUUGGGGGCAUUAGUAUUCAAUUGUCAGAGGUGAAAUUCUUGGAUUUAUUGAAGACUAACUACUGCGAAAGCAUUUGCCAAGGAUGUUUUCAUUAAUCAAGAACGAAAGUUAGGGGAUCGAAGACGAUCAGAUACCGUCGUAGUCUUAACCAUAAACUAUGCCGACUAGGGAUCGGAUGAUGUUAAUUUUUUAAUGACUCUA